rnacentral:rRNA from 1 species
AGCGAACGCUGGCGGCGUGCUUAACACAUGCAAGUCGAACGAGAACGGAUUAUAGCUUGCUAUAAUUGUCAGCUAAGUGGCGCACGGGUGAGUAAUGUAUAGGUAAUAUGCCUCUUACUAAGGGAUAACAAAUGGAAACGUUUGCUAAUACCUUAUACUCCUUAUUAACAGAAGUUAAUAAGGGAAAGAUUUAUUGGUAAGAGAUUAGCCUGUAUUGUAUCAGUUAGUUGGUGGGGUAAUGGCUUACCAAGACUAUGACACGUAACUGGUUUGAGAGGAUGAUCAGUCACACUGGAACUGAGACACGGUCCAGACUCCUACGGGAGGCAGCAGUGGGGAAUAUCGCACAAUGGACGGAAGUCUGAUGCGGCAACGCCGCGUGGAGGAUGACACAUUUCGGUGCGUAAACUCCUUUUAUAUGAGAAGAUAAUGACGGUAUUAUAUGAAUAAGCACCGGCUAACUCCGCGCCAGCCGCCGCGGUAA